GGGCAAGCAUUGUAUCAAUGAACCAUCGUUCUUAAAAUAUGAAUACAUAUGGGCCGUCAAGGCCUCUGACAUAUUAUACAAAAUGAACCUUUAUGUGUCUACAAAGCCUCUAAGAUUAUUUGAUAUCAAAUGGGACAGGGUACCGGCCUACCCAUAAGUCUGUAGCAAAACUUUGAGACGAUGACUCACAGACUCGGCUGCACUCCUAAUGAGGUGGAGUCUUACCGAUCCUUCACUGAAUGCUAACCUCGACUACUAUGAGGCUCAUCAAACUGAUUAUCUAUACCUGCAGGCAUGAAUGUAGCGUCCCCAACAAAAUGACGUCAGUACGAAUAAUGUACUGAGUAUGUAAGACAUCUAAAUAAAUAUAUAAAGAGUAUGGAAAAAACAUGGUGUAAAGGACUCAACCUGUAAGUCCGGAUAACUCUGUAUAUCAUUUAAUACUUAUAGUGUCAUGCAUAUGCAUAUGAAUAUUAUGUCGUGCAUAGGUAAAUGUGUUCAUAACAUCAUCAAGCUUCUAAGGGCAUCCCAUCAUAUAAUCUCAGCCACUAUGGGCAAAAUCAUCGUCGUAUACCAACUGAUCAGAUGGUGGUGUGUAUAUAACGCCAUAACCUUUCCCAUAUCCCAUAUAUAUAUACUUAUAUAUACGUGUAUAUAACGCCAUAACAUCAUCACACCUCUGAGGGUGUCCCAUCAUAUCAUCUCGGCCACUGUGGAAAAUCAUCAACGUAUACCAGCUGAUCAGGUGGUGGUGCGUAUAUAACGCCAUAACCUUUUCCCAUAUUCCAUGUAUAUAUAUAUAUAUAUAUAUAUGCGUAUAUAACGUCGUCUGGGUCAUGGGUAAAUGCACAUGUGAAUGAAUGCAAUGCAUGAGAAGUACGUUAAUAAAAUCUCUCGAAAUAUCAUAACACCAUUAUCCCUUUGAUUAAAAUCAAUCAAGUUUUUCACUGCAUAUUCAGCCAAGUCAGUACGCCCAUGAAUUUUGCAGCCGUUAGGCAAGGUACCCCAUGUAACUGAAAAGGACAUUGAGGUUAAAGUAAACAAAGAAAUGUCUUCAUGAGCAGUAUAUGAAAGAUGCAAUGUCUCUAGACGACUUCCUUCACAGAAAGCUUGAGUUCCAAUAUAAAACCAUCCUUACAAGUUAAAACACAGUUUAAAUUACCAAACUCUUUUCUUUGGGAAAGGUGGUGCAUGUGCCAACUUAUGUGCACCUUGACUAAAUUUAUCUGGUACCUGCUACCUCCCGCUAACACAAGUAUCUGGUGACUCUGUUCACCAAGGCUUAAGACAAAUGAGAAGAAAUAACCUAGAGUUAUGUGUCUCCAAUGAGAUUGGAACAAGAAACCUAAGAAUCUUAGGUUUUGAAAAUUGUCACACUCUUAAUGGACGCACAUUACAAAUCUUUGAAGUAUUUGGGAAAAUAUUAAACGUCCAACACUUCAUUAGAAGACUCAAACAUGUGUAUUGGGAAUACAAUUUAAAUUUCUAAUUAUUGUAUUCUGGAUUAAUUGAAUGAUUGUCAUUGUUUGGACAACAUAGAAUGAUAAGGUUCAUUUUAUAGAACUAGAUACUACCUGCUUUAACAUAAUUUUCGCUCGAGAAAAUAAGAAACUAUGUCUCUAGAUUUAGAAAUACUAAUAGAAAGAUGAAAUCAAGUUCCACCUACACUUUAUAUAAACAGUAGAAAGAACAAUUUUGUUCAUGAAUUGUAACAAGCCUAAAAUGACUAAAUCUGUAUCAAGCAGUAGAAGUGAGAAGAUAAAAUGUGGUAGUGUGGCGUAGAACAACCAUUAUCUCAACAGCACCCCCCUUCUUUUGGGGUAAGUCAUGAUGAUAAUAGCUUUUCCAAACCAGAUUGUGAAUGUCAACAAAAGAAACAUGAACUUACGAACAGCAUGCAAGCCGAGUAGGCUGUUGAAGACACUAACAUUCAAAGAUUACAAACUUUUAUUGGCAUUGAAGCAAAGCCCCAGAGAUAUACAUCUCAAUAAGCCAAAACUCGAGGGCAUAAGAUGAAUAGAACAAACCUGAAAUAAUUGUCAUUGAAUGAAUUUUCGAAUUAACCAGCUUCUCGCAGACAGGAAAAAUCCCUUGAAGUUUAAAUUGAAGCCAUUAUUAUAUUAUAUAUGGUGAUCUAAUUUUGUAAAAAGCUUUCAUCUUCUAACAAUGUGACACCCAUUCUAAAUGACUAAUGAGUCAUUAAUUUGAAGGUGAGGGGGCUGCCACGUGGGGAUGAGGUGGGUAAGUUUAAUCUUUAUCCACUUAUUAGGUAAUUAGGAAAUAUUCCGUUACCCGAUAAUUAAGCAAUUUCCCGCAUAAUUAAGAAAUGUCUCAAAUUACUUAAAACUUUACAUAUUUUAAUACACUUUAUACAUCACACUAUCAUGGUCAUGUGGUACCAUAUAAAAUAAAUAUAUACACUAUUAUUUCAUUAAAACAUCCAUGUAAAAAUACAUAUAUUUUCUCAAUAUUCUAUUUUUCCUAGUCUCAUAUAAAGAGUACAAAUUUUUCAUAUGCUUAAUUUUUAAAUGGUAAAAUAUAACCUUAUUUCCUUGUGAGAAUAUAAUUUAUAUCUUUACAAUAAUGAAAUUCUUUGUAUACUAUAAAUUCUCAAAACGGAAAAAGGAUAACUUUUCUUAUGAUAAAAUACUAUCUACUCUUAUAAUAAAUAAAACCUCAUUUAUAAACUCCCACAUGUCAUAUAUUUAAUUUAAAACUUAUCACAACCAUAUAAAAUCGUAUCAAUCAACUUUUACCGAAAAUGAUUUACUUCAAAGAAAAUACAUAUCAAGUCAAAAUAUAGUAGUUCCGAAAUUCUUCAAACUUACAGGGUCUUACAUCCCUAUCUUCAUGUACCUUAAUCCCUUCCAAAUCAUAUGUUAUUACUUCGACGAAUCCUAACUUUAAAGUACAGGAUGUAACAUCCUUCCCCCCUUUAGAACAUUCAUCCUCGAAUGUUAACUCUUAGAGAUUUGCAAAAUUUUCAAUAGGGUAUCCUCUGUAAAUUGAACUUAAAACCCAAUCUAUUUCUGAAGUCUCGACUAUUCACAACCUUGAGUAUCUUGUAUCUUCUUCACCUUUACCUUACUUACUUUUCAAUUUCGCAUCGUAUCUUCUAUUUCUUUUAUAACAUCCCUUUCACAUAAGUAGAAAUUACAUCUACGCCUUAAAGCUCUAUUAUGAUAGCACCUCUAGUGCAUACGAAACCUGGUGAAAACUUCAUAUUGACUUCUUACGGCUCAGUUCUAUGGCACAAUCGGGAAACAAAAGAAGGGUAACAUUUCCUAAAUACCUUAUAGCCUCUCCAUUAUAAAUGUGGCGCGCAACACAUCCAUAAGUGAGACUCUACUAGGCACGACUUUGUAGACUCCCUAGGACACGACUCGUUCUGAUACCACUUUGUCACGCCCCAAACCUGGGGAGGCGUGGCUGACACCCGGUGCCGUACUGGACCGAGCGAACCACUCUGCAACUCCUUUUUCUUCUUCUGCAACUAUCAUGGGCCAACAUGGCCACAACUCGUAAUGUAUAACUAUAAGUGGGCAAGCAUUGUAUCAAUGAACCAUCGUUCUUAAAAUAUGAAUACAUAUGAGCCAUCAAGGCAUCUGACAUAUUAUACAAAAUAAACCUUUGUGUGUCUACAAAGCCUCUAAGAGUAUUUGACAUCAAAUGGGACAGGGUACCGGCCUACCCAUAAGUCUGUAACAAAACUUUGAGACGAUGACUCACAGACUCGGCUGUACUCCGAAUGAGGUGGAGUCUUACCGAUCCUUCGCUGAAUGCUAACCUAGACUACUAUGAGGGAUCAUCAAACUGAUUAUCUAUACCUGCAGACAUGAAUGCAGCGUCCCCAACAAAAGGACAUCAAUACGAAUAAUGUAUUGAGUAUAUGAGGCAUCUAAAUAAAUAUAUAAAGAGUAUGGAAGAAACAUGGAGUAAAGGACUCAACCUGUAAGUCUGGAUAACUCUGUAUAUCAUUUAAUACUUAUAGUGUCAUGCAUAUGCGUAUGAAUGUUAUGUCGUGCAUAGGUACAUGUGUUCAUAACAUCAUCAAGCCUCUGAGGGCAUCCCAUCAUAUCAUCUCAGCCACUAUGGGCAAAAUCAUCAUCGUAUACCAGCUGAUCAGAUGGUGAUGCGUAUAUAACGCCAUAACCUUUCCCAUAUCUCAUAAACAAACCAGAUUGUGAAUGUCAACAAAAUAAACAUGAACUUACGAACAGCAUGCAAGCUGAGUAGGCUGUUGAAGACACUUACAUUCAAAGAUUACAAACUUUUAUUGGCAUUGAAGCAAAGCCCCAGAGAUAUAUAUCUCAAUAAGCCAAAACUUGAGGGCAUAAGAUGAACAGAACAAACCUGAAGUAAUUGUCAUUGAUUGAAUUUUCGAAUUAACCAGCUUCUCGCAGACAGGAAAAAUCCCUUGAAGUUUAAAUUGAAGCCAUUAUUAUACUAUAUAUGGUGACCUAAUUUAGUAAAAAGCUUUCAUCUUCUAACAGUGUGACACCCAUUCUAAAUGACUAAUGAGUCAUUAAUUUGAAGGUGAGGGGCCUGCCACGUGGGGAUGAGGUGGGUAAGUUUAAUCUUUAUCCACUUAUUAGGUAAUUAGGAAAUAUUCCGUUACCCGAUAAUUAAGCAAUUUCCCGCAUAAUUAAGAAAUGUCUCAAAUUACUUAAAACUCUACUUAUUUUUAAUAUACUUUAUACAUCAUACUAUCAUGGUCAUGUGGUACCAUAUAAAUAAAUAUAUACAUUUCAUUAAAACAUCCAUGUAAAAAUACAUAUAUUUUCUCAAUAUUUUAAUUUUCCUAGUCUCAUAUAAAGAGUAAAUGUUUUUCAUAUGCUUAAUUUUAAAUGGUAAAAUAUAACCUUAUUUUCUUGUGAGAAUAUAAUUUAUAUCUUUACAAUAAUGAAAUUCUUUUUAUACUAUAAAUUCUCAAAACGGAAAAAGGAUAACUUUUCUUAUGAUAAAAUACUAUCUACUCUUAUAAUAAAUAAAACCUCAUUUAUAACCUCCCGCAUGUCAUGUAUUUAAUUUAAAACUUAUCACAACCAUAUAAAAUCGUAUCUAUCAACUUUUACCGAAAAUGAUUUAGUUCAAAGAAAAUACAUAUCAAGCCAAUAUAUAGUAGUUCUGAAAUUCUUCAAACUUACAGGGUCAUACACCCCUAUCAUCAUGUACCUUAAUCCCUUCCAACUCAUUUGUUAUUUAUUCAACGAAUCCUAACGUUAAAGUACGGGAUGUAACAGCUCUGAAUUCAGUUCAAGCCCCAAAAAUAAUAUGUUUCUUUUAAUACUUCAGUUCAUCAUGUUCCUGAUUUGUUUUUACCUAUGGUUUUGUUGUUCAACAUGUAAUUAAUCUCUUUGCUUCAACAUGCUCUCAUGAACUAGUAACUUGACUCUACUCUGUUUGAUGCAUGUCUACUAGUUCUAGUAUGCACUUGUUGGGCUAUUGCCCAAGUUGUUUUAAUAUUAUGCUCAGUCAUGUUUAGUAUAAAAUCCUAUACUCUACUAUCUCCCAACUCUCAUAAAUCCCCCUAGGCAUCUCUGGUUUUGUAAUUGUGUUCUAAUUAAUACUCCUGAAUCUAUGUCUUACUACCUGCACUAAGAGCAAAGGACUUCUGCCUAUUAUGUGUUUAUCAUACCUGCCUUAUUUGUCCACAACCCCUAAUUGACCUUAUGUGGAGACUUGUUCCCCGAGUGUUUGCUGAACUUGCUUGACUGACCUGCUGUUUGUUGAGUUACAUGACUGUUCUCAAAAGCUAUUUUACUAAACAACCCUCUUAUUUACAAAACUAUUUCAAGCAAAUCUCUUUAACACUGUUUUCCCACUAAAACCUUUCAAACUGUGUCAAGCAUUCUCACUCUACUCCUAAGUCAUUAGGUUCUACCCCCUCCAGUAUGUGUACUGCCUUGGGAUUCUCUUGAGAACCCUCUGAACUCUGACACACUGAGGUUGGCCCUUCCACACUGUACUUACUCAAUUUGGUUACCAAGUCUAGGUGUGAGCACUGUCUGGGAUCCUUGAGAUACUUAGGGAACUCUGACGCACCUAGACAAUGAUAUUGUCUAUGAAAUUGGGCAUUUGAGGCUAUUAGAGGUUUUGGAAAAUCACUUGGGCCUGAUACAGACUCCCUAUAAUGUAACGUCUUCUUUUCCUUUUAUCUAUUUAUGAAAUUUAUUCAUAUGGUCGGUAAUAAUUUGUAAACGGAUAUUGGGGUAACUAGUGGAAAAGGGUGGGUAGUUACAUAUUUGUGGGGUAAUACGGAUAGAAACCAUGCUUAUAGGACUUGAUAUUUUGCUAUAUUUUACCUUACCAUGUUAGAAAUCAUUCCUAUAGGUUUCAAGUGGUUCCAAUAAUAGAAAUCAUGAUUAUAGGUCUUAAAAUCAGCUUCACAAGUAGAUACAAUGUCUAUAGGAUAUGAUCCAGCUCAACUUCUGUUAUAACGAGUGUUUACAUGUGUUUUUUAUUUGUUGUCACGCCUACAAGUUUCUAACAUCAGUACUUAAAUAAUUAGAUGUCAUGCCUAUAAGAAACAAUAUCAGAAACUCUGCCUAGAUCUAAAAUCAGUUUAGUUUAAAUAAGUCAAUCCAAUUCUUGAGUAGUUUGCUUCGAAACUAGUCUAAUUAAAGGUUUGUUUUUUCCUGAAACUAGUCUAUAGGGACUUAAGAGUCAAUCUUAAAUCUGCCCCUAUUUUAUAAAACGUAGUUAUCAUUAUUCCGCAUGUACGCAAGCCUAUAGGACAUUUUCAAAUCCUGUAACUCUGAAACUGUCUCUGUUACUUAAUGUUGUCCUGACUUAACAGGUUUAAAAUCAGUAGGCAAACUGAUAGGGCCAUUACUUCUGAGUUUAUAAAAUAAAAUGCCUAUCUUCUGUGUCUUGAUAUUCACUUAGACAUCCUGCCUUAGGAUACUGUUUAACAAAAGGCCCUUAUCUGUAUCUGAGUCAUGCUGCCUAUGUGCAUUGUUUUGUGGAGGUAAACUUGAGCCUCUAAUUGCUCCCCUUUUGUCUUAUGUGCUAAAGUCCUAAUUGUUCUUGCAUGUCGCCUAAGCAUUUUCUCCUUUAAGCCUUAGGGGUCUGUCUAGAACUACCUAUAGGUAGGGGUCCUAAAUUUCCUCCAGGACCAUUAAGAAGGGACGGGUAACAACAUGCAAUAGAGAUCAUUGACCAACACGCGCUUUAAUAACCACUAAGGGGGUAAUAAGGGUAGAUAUGGGAUAUGAUGACUACGCGCUAAUAUCACGUGUAGCCCCUCAUUGAGGAGUGUUUACCGGACAUUGUGUGGGGUGAUCCUAUAGGCUAACCAACCUAGGACUGCUCCUCUCCCAAAAUUCCUUUUGUUAAAACUUUGUUUCAUAUGUGUACAACUUGUUCAAAAUCUUUGCCUUAUUAAUUGAGUGAUACAACGUGCUUUACUUGCAAAUUAUUUGAUUCAACUAUUUAUUUGUUAAUGGACUAAUUCGUAAAUAUAAGUUCGGUCGGGACCCACCGUUGUGGACCACGAGGGGUGCCUAACACCUUCCCCUCAAGGUUAUUUCGAGCCCUUACCCUAAUCUUUGAUAAUGCAAACUAGUCCAUGAGUUAAUUACUCUAGGUGCCCUGACGUACCUUAAUUCUUUAGGUGGCGACUAUUCAAAUACUCAAUUCCCAAAAGGAAAUGAGUUAUUUCCCCCAUAAAUGUCGAAACUCGGACUUCCCCAUAAAAAAAGGAGGUAAAAAAGGGAUGCGACACACAUCAAGGGCAACACUCCGUUCUACACAAGGAAAAAUGAAUAAAUGAGAGAGUCUUAUUGGGAAAAACCCUCACGGGCACUGUAAGGUGAUGGAAAACUGAGAGAAAACUAAAAUGAGAGAGUCUUAUUGGUAAAAACCCUCGCAUGCACCGUAAGGAGAUAGUGAGUCGAGAGAUGAACAAAUGAGAGAGGUCUGUUGGUGAAAACUUGUCAAGGCACUGCAAGCCGAAUGAGGCACGUGACUUUGCAAAGAGAUUGGAUUAUAGAAAAUCUCGGUUUCGAAGUAUGAAGACAGGGCACAAUAUGAUUAGGUGAACGGUCUGGGCUGAUUAAUCCAAAAUGCAUGUCAUGAUCAUUGGUGCCAGCUACUUCGAUCAGAUAAGUCUCUUUUCCAUUCUUCCUCAAAUAGUCAUCUUGUUUCAAAUUUUCCUCUUUAUUCCUAAUUCUCGAAGUCACUUCUUUUUUAUUUUCUUUUGGGUCUACUUUUCUAAGUCUUUUCCAAUGUUAGCCUUGUUAAGCAAGCAAGAAAGGAUUUCAAAGCUUAUUAUUAACUUUCAGAUUGCACAAAACAAAGUGCUGCCAAAGCAUACCAGAAAUAACACGUUUCAAAAUGAGAAAUAAGGUGUUAAUGGGAGUUCAAGUGGUCAUUUGAUUUCGUGAAUUUUGAGGGAAUAUAAAGGUUCAAAUUGGAAGGACAGAAAUAUAAAAUAGCAGGAUGAGUAUGAGGCACUCGGGUCAUUCAAAGUUCUGUGGUUAAGGUUUGAUCAGAAGGUCAAACAAUUCUUUGCUAGCCCAAGGCGGCUAAUCCGAACAAAGCGGUAGUGGAAAAGUCACCUUCAACAAGAAUGCCACAAACUACCCACCACAUUUUCAAACUGAUAAGAUUUUCUUUGAUUGAAACAGGGGCAGGACAUUUUGUUUGUUCCGGAGGAACCCUAGUGAGGAAAGCAGGUGCUAGACAGGUUCAGUUGUAAAUUUUCAAGACCCUCCUGGAUAAUGGGAUUUAAUUUAAAGUUCUCAGGACCCUCAUGGAUAAUGAGAUUUAAUUUAAAGUUUUCAGGACCCUCCUAGAUAAUGGGAUGUAGUUUUAAGUUGUCAGGACUCUCCUGGAUAAUGAGAUUUAAUUUCGAGUUUUCAGGCCCCUCUUGAAUAAUGGGAUGUAUUUUUAAGUUGUCAGGACCCUCCUGGAUAAUGGGAUUUAAUUUCGAGUUCUCAGGACCCUCUUGGAUAAUAAGAUUUAGUUUCAAGUUUUCAGGGCCCUCCUGGAUAAUGGAAUUUAAGUUCAAGUUUUCAGGACCCUCCUGGAUAAUGGGAUUUAGUUUAAGUUUUACCUUUAGGAAAUAGAAUUCAGCUUUCAGGUUUUCAUUUUUAAGAUGAGAUUUAAUUUUAGUUCUCAGGGCCCUCCAGGAUAAUGGGAUUUUCAACUUUUAAAUUCUUAGGUUUCUUUUGGAUAACAUGAUUCGAUUAACACUCACAGAUAUUCCCAGUACCAAACUGGGGCAGAAAAGUUUGUUUUGUUUUGUCUGUUUUGUUGUAAUGACAGGCACCCACCUGGAGAACAAGGGAAUUCAUUUCAAAGUUCAGCAUCAGGCACCCACCUGGAAAAUAAGGGAAAAUUCAUUUCAA
rnacentral:lncRNA from 1 species